CAGUCGCCGCGGUAAUACGUAGGUGGCAAGCGUUGUCCGGAUUUAUUGGGCGUAAAGCGAGCGCGGGCGGUUUCUUAAGUCUGAUGUGAAAGCCCCCGGCUCAACCGGGGAGGGUCAUUGGAAACUGGGAGACUUGAGUGCAGAAGAGGAGAGUGGAAUUCCAUGUGUAGCGGUGAAAUGCGUAGAUAUAUGGAGGAACACCAGUGGCGAAGGCGGCUCUCUGGUCUGUAACUGACGCUGAGGCUCGAAAGCGUGGGGAGCGAACAGGAUUAGAUACCCCUGUAGUCCCUGUCUCUUAUAC
rnacentral:rRNA from 1 species